UACGUAGGGGGUAAGCGUUGUCCGGAUUUAUUGGGCGUAAAGAGCGUGUAGGCGGCCAGGUAGGUCUGCUGUGAAAACUCGAGGCUCAACCUCGAGAUGUCGGCGGAAACCAUCUGGCUAGAGUCCGGAAGAGGAGAAUGGAAUUCCCGGUGUAGCGGUGAAAUGCGCAGAUAUCGGGAAGAACACCCGUGGCGAAGGCGGUUCUCUGGGACGGUACUGACGCUGAGACGCGAAAGCGUGGGGAGCGAACAGG
rnacentral:rRNA from 1 species